CUCCUUUUAUUUAGUUAGUUUCCCCAGCAGGUUUGGCCGUGGGCUGGUCUCUGCCCCUCUAUAGAUCCGGGGCUCCUCUAGCCCCUCGGUGCUCCAGCAGCCCCCACAUCACCCCGAGCCCAGCGCACUACGCGGAGCGCGCCCCGGGCGAGCCACAAUGCCGGCUCGCUCGCGACCUCGUUUAACCUGGGUGUUCGGCCACCCGGAGCCACCGAGGCUGCCCCCAGCCCAGAGUGGAGCCGGCCAGUCUCCCAGCCCAACUUCCCUCCCGAGCUUUAGCAGCUUGCCCCGCUUCGGGCUUGGAAGCCCUCAGUCCUGCGGCGGCAAAAGGCCAGGGGCGGGAGGAGAGCGGCGGUGGAGGCCGGUGGCCGCAGUCCGCGCCAGCCCCCAGCCACCGUAACCUUGAAGGGCGCCCUCGAGUGAGUGCGUGCGCGGCGGCUGUGGAGAGCUGGCGCAACGGGCUGGAUGGGAGGCAGGAGCUGGGAGCAGGGUACGGGGAGGCGGCCCCAGCGCCCUGGGAGUUGUGGGUGACCUGGACAGCCAACUCCGGGUGCUGGCCCUCGGGCAGCCACCCGGCUGGAUGGUGCUGGCCCCCGGGCCGUGACCGGAGGGCGGCGCGCGAGCCGGGGCGAGCAGGCCGGUGAGCGCCUGGCUCUCCGCGGAGGUGAGCUGGUGGCCCGAGCCGCAGGCGGGCUGCAGCCACUCGGAGUCCCACGCCAAAGCCGGCGCUCCCCUCCUCCGCUGGCGAUGACAGCUGAGGACAGCCGGGCUUCCAGCCUGGCUAAGAGGCAAAUUCUUCUCUGGCUUCUUAGCCUCUUGAACUAUUCGCAAAAUUGCCCCAUGGUUUUGCUUUUCCUCCGUAAUUUACUAGACAUCCGGAACCGAAAAUGCACGUUCAUUCAGGAAGACCCCAGCCUGGACAGUGAUAUCUUCAGAGCUGGGGUGUACAGAAGAACACCUAGGAGUCUUAAUUCUUUUUUCUUUCAAUCUUCAGCGAUGCCUCGAAAGAAUCACCCUUCUCUCUCAACCUCCCAGAUCUGGAUAUACACUUGAUAAAUGAAGGUUCCUGUGAAAUAUUUUGUCGUCUGUGUAGAAAACAUUAUGUGGACUUUAAGUGUUAAGAUGUAGUUUUGGAAUUUUCUGUGUUGUCUUUAAUUCUCACCAGACAUUUAGGAAAAACAACAACAACAAAACAGCUUGGUAGCGGCCAGCAAGUGAGCAAAGGUUAUCCUGCUACCACAGCACCUGCAAAAGCGCAAGUGGAAUUCACAUAUUUUGCCUCCCGUGUUCUAAAAUGGAUUCUGAACCGUCCAGAGAAACCAGCACAUAGAAAGAGGGGAAGCUGUGAUGAAAGCAGAGUUUGUUCAUUUUUAAAAUUACACAGGGCUAUCAGACUGAACUCCUGGGGUCCUUUCGAGCACAAAUAACUUCUGUUCCAUAGAUGUUUUCACCGAAAAGUGGAAGUCUUCAAUGAUGCAGCAGCACCCUGGUGUCCAGUCUUCAGAUCAAGCUUGAUGGUCCAUUUAAAAAUGACAUGCAAUUCUUCCUUUGUCAAUGUAUGGAAUAG
ensembl:lncRNA